AUUGACCGCUGGCGGCAGGCCUAACACAUGCAAGUCGAACGAGUGGCGGACGGGAGAGUAAUGUCUGGGAAACUGACUGAUGGAGGGGGAUAACUACUGGAAAAGGUAGCUAAUAACGCAUACCAUCGGAUGUGCCCAGAUGGGAUUAGCUAGUAGGGGGGGUAAAGGCUCACCUAGGCGACGAUCCCUAACUGGUCUGAGAGGCGGACCAUCCACACUGGAACUGAUACACGGGCCAGACUCCGACGGGAGGCAGCAGUGGGGAAUAUUGCACAAUGGGCGCAAGCCUGAUGCAGCCAUGCCGCGUGUAUGAAGAAGGCCUUCGGGUUGUAAAGUACUUGCAGCGGGGAGGCGUGACCCGCAGAAGAAGCACCGGCUAACUCCGUGCCAGCAGCCGCGGUAAUUC
rnacentral:rRNA from 1 species